GAUGAACGCUGGCGGCGUGCCUAAUACAUGCAAGUCGAGCGAACAGAUGAGGAGCUUGCUCCUCUGACGUUAGCGGCGGACGGGUGAGUAACACGUGGAUAACCUACCUAUAAGACUGGGAUAACUUCGGGAAACCGGAGCUAAUACCGGAUAAUAUAUUGAACCGCAUGGUUCAAUAGUGAAAGACGGUUUUGCUGUCACUUAUAGAUGGAUCCGCGCCGUAUUAGCUAGUUGGUAAGGUAACGGCUUACCAAGGCAACGAUGCGUAGCCGACCUGAGAGGGUGAUCGGCUACACUGGAACUGAGACACGGUCCAGACUCCUACGGGAGGCAGCAGUAGGGAAUCUUCCGCAAUGGGCGAAAGCCUGACGGAGCAACGCCGCGUGAGUGAUGAAGGUCUUCGGAUCGUAAAACUCUGUUAUUAGGGAAGAACAAAUGUGUAAGUAACUAUGCACGUCUUGACGGUACCUAAUCAGAAAGCCACGGCUAACUACGUG
rnacentral:rRNA from 1 species